rnacentral:rRNA from 1 species
GAUGAACGCUGGUGGCGUGCCUAAUACAUGCAAGUCGAGCGAACGGACGAGAAGCUUGCUUCUCUGAUGUUAGCGGCGGACGGGUGAGUAACACGUGGAUAACCUACCUAUAAGACUGGGAUAACUUCGGGAAACCGGAGCUAAUACCGGAUAAUAUUUUGAACCGCAUGGUUCAAAAGUGAAAGACGGUCUUGCUGUCACUUAUAGAUGGAUCCGCGCUGCAUUAGCUAGUUGGUAAGGUAACGGCUUACCAAGGCAACGAUGCAUAGCCGACCUGAGAGGGUGAUCGGCCACACUGGAACCGAGACACGGUCCAGACUCCUACGGGAGGCAGCAGUAGGGAAUCUUCCGCAAUGGGCGAAAGCCUGACGGAGCAACGCCGCGUGAGUGAUGAAGGUCUUCGGAUCGUAAAACUCUGUUAUUAGGGAAGAACAUAUGUGUAAGUAACUGUGCACAUCUUGACGGUACCUAAUCAGAAAGCCACGGCUAACUACGUGCCAGCAGCCGCGGUAAUACGUAGGUGGCAAGCGUUAUCCGGAAUUAUUGGGCGUAAAGCGCGCGUAGGCGGUUUUUUAAGUCUGAUGUGAAAGCCCACGGCUCAACCGUGGAGGGUCAUUGGAAACUGGAAAACUUGAGUGCAGAAGAGGAAAGUGGAAUUCCAUGUGUAGCGGUGAAAUGCGCAGAGAUAUGGAGGAACACCAGUGGCGAAGGCGACUUUCUGGUCUGUAACUGACGCUGAUGUGCGAAAGCGUGGGGAUCAAACAGGAUUAGAUACCCUGGUAGUCCACGCCGUAAACGAUGAGUGCUAAGUGUUAGGGGGUUUCCGCCCCUUAGUGCUGCAGCUAACGCAUUAAGCACUCCGCCUGGGGAGUACGACCGCAAGGUUGAAACUCAAAGGAAUUGACGGGGACCCGCACAAGCGGUGGAGCAUGUGGUUUAAUUCGAAGCAACGCGAAGAACCUUACCAAAUCUUGACAUCCUUUGACAACUCUAGAGAUAGAGCUUUCCCCUUCGGGGGACAAAGUGACAGGUGGUGCAUGGUUGUCGUCAGCUCGUGUCGUGAGAUGUUGGGUUAAGUCCCGCAACGAGCGCAACCCUUAAGCUUAGUUGCCAUCAUUAAGUUGGGCACUCUAAGUUGACUGCCGGUGACAAACCGGAGGAAGGUGGGGAUGACGUCAAAUCAUCAUGCCCCUUAUGAUUUGGGCUACACACGUGCUACAAUGGACAAUGCAAAGGGCAGCGAAACCGCGAGGUCAAGCAAAUCCCAUAAAGUUGUUCUCAGUUCGGAUUGUAGUCUGCAACUCGACUACAUGAAGCUGGAAUCGCUAGUAAUCGUAGAUCAGCAUGCUACGGUGAAUACGUUCCCGGGUCU